CUGACCGGUACGCAUGGGUCGACGUUUGAACAAACGAGCCCGUUCCAAAUGCUCUAAUAAAAUGAGCCUCUGGAUGCGUUAUUGUCAG
rnacentral:ncRNA from 1 species